rnacentral:rRNA from 1 species
GAUGAACGCUGGCGGCGUGCUUAACACAUGCAAGUCGAACGGAAAGGCCACAGCUUGCUGUGGUACUCGAGUGGCGAACGGGUGAGUAACACGUGGGUGAUCUGCCCUGUACUUCGGGAUAAGCUUGGGAAACUGGGUCUAAUACCGGAUAGGAAUCACAUGUGGGUGUGUGGUUGGAAAGCUUUUGCGGUAUGGGAUGAGCUCGCGGCCUAUCAGCUUGUUGGUGGGGUAAUGGCCUACCAAGGCGUCGACGGGUAGCCGGCCUGAGAGGGUGUACGGCCACAUUGGGACUGAGAUACGGCCCAGACCCCUACGGGAGGCAGCAGUGGGGAAUAUUGCACAAUGGGCGCAAGCCUGAUGCAGCGACGCCGCGUGGGGGAUGACGGCCUUCGGGUUGUAAACUCCUUUCGUCAGGGACGAAGCGAAAGUGACGGUACCUGGAUAAGAAGCACCGGCUAACUACGUG